UGUAAGCGUAUACCAAAGUUGUUGCAGUUAAAAAGCUCGUAGUUGGAUUUGUGGCGUACGGUGUGUUCCGGGCACUUGUUGUCUGAGUAACCUGCUGUUGCCAUCCUUGGGUGGAACCUGUGUGGCAUUAGGUUGUCGUGCAGGGGAUGCCCAUCAUUUACUGUGAAAAAAUUAGAGUGUUCAAAGCAGGCUUAUGCCGUUGAAUAUAUUAGCAUGGAAUAAUGAGAUAGGACUUUUUUGCUAUUUUGUUGGUUUGCGCAAAGAGGUAAUGAUUAAUAGGGACAGUUGGGGGUAUUCGUAUUCCAUUGUCAGAGGUGAAAUUCUUGGAUUUUUGGAAGACGAACUACUGCGAAAGCAUUUACCAAGGAUGUUUUCAUUAA
rnacentral:rRNA from 1 species